rnacentral:tRNA from 1 species
AUUUUAUUAAUAUAUAAAGUAUAUUUAAUUUCCAAUUAAAAAGAUUUUUUUUAAAAAUA